rnacentral:rRNA from 1 species
UUUAAAGUCUAGCCUGCCCAAUGAUUAAUUUUAAAUGGCCGCAGUAUAUUAACUGUGCAAAGGUAGCAUAAUCAUUAGUUUUUUAAUUGAGAACUGGAAUGAAAGGUUGGAUAAGAAAAAUUCUGUCUUAAUUUUAUUAUUAUAAUUUUAUUUUUAAGUUAAAAAGCUUAAAUUUUUUAAAAAGACGAGAAGACCCUAUAGAGUUUAAUUAAGUAAUUUGAAUUUAAAAGUUGGAGUUUAAUUUUUUUAUUUAAAUAUAUAUAUAUUUUUGUUGGGGUGAUGUAAAAACUUAUUUAACUUUUUAUUUAUUUUUACAUAAAUUAAUGAUUAAUUGAUCCUAAUUUUUGGAUUAAAAGAAUAAAUUACCUUAGGGAUAACAGCGUAAUUUUUUUUAGAGUUCUAAUUGAAAAAAAAGUUUGCGACCUCGAUGUUGGAUUAAAGUUAAAUUUUGGUGUAGAAGCUAUUAAUUUAGGUCUGUUCGACCUUUAAAACUUUACA